AACGCAAUUGGUUAUACAUUUCACGUAUCAACUGCAUAAACCCAUUCCGAGUACCUUGCCUGUUGCUUCCAUGGGGCCUGACCUUGGUCACUCUUGAGAUGUGAAUCCCAGGAGAGUUCCCAUGGGAGGUAAUCAUUAAAUUCAUGUAUCCAAUGUCUUCUGUCUGAACUGUUUAUAACGAAUGUUA
rnacentral:misc_RNA from 1 species